GAAGAAUUCAUGCUCCAAAAGAUGAUAGAGAUCUUUAACAUCCUGAGUUGCGCAGCUCAGGACUCCUUUAGACACCAGUUCAGAAAGAAGAUUUGCCCUUGAAAGCACAUCUCUACUUUCAAGUUUGGAGUCUAAAUUGAACCCUAUAAGAUUCGCCAUCCUCAAAUUUCGCUCUUUCUCAUGUUCAAGUUCUAAAUGAGAAGCACCAUGCUUAGAGUCAUAGGGGGACACUGCAAGAGAUGCUAAAAGAACAGACGAAGCUAUCAGCUGCAAAUCCUUCUGGCUUAGAUUUUUGUUGAAACUCUUCUGAAGGGAGAAAAGUUUAAGCCAUGCAUAGGCAUGAUAAAGAUUGCUAUUGGAUAUCCAGAAGAUCUCGGUUAAUUUGACGUAAUACACCACCAUCAAGGAUGGUUUAGGUGUUUUCUUCACCAUGCACAUCAAACCAUGAAUAUCUUCCACAGAACGAAAAGCUUCCUGCCAGAGCUCAAG
rnacentral:misc_RNA from 1 species